rnacentral:rRNA from 1 species
AUACAGGGGGUGCAAGCGUUAAUCGGAUUUACUGGGCGUAAAGCGCGCGUAGGCGGCUAAUUAAGUCAAAUGUGAAAUCCCCGAGCUUAACUUGGGAAUUGCAUUCGAUACUGGUUAGCUAGAGUGUGGGAGAGGAUGGUAGAAUUCCAGGUGUAGCGGUGAAAUGCGUAGAGAUCUGGAGGAAUACCGAUGGCGAAGGCAGCCAUCUGGCCUAACACUGACGCUGAGGUGCGAAAGCAUGGGGAGCAAACAGGAUUAGAAACCCCAGUAGUCC